rnacentral:rRNA from 1 species
GAUGAACGCUGGCGGCGUGCUUUAACACAUGCAAGUCGAACGGGAAUUACUUUAUUGAACUUACGGUCGAUUUAAUUUAAUUCCAGUGGCGGACGGGUGAGUAACGCGUGGGUAACCUGCCUUAUACAGGGGGAGUAACAGUCAGAAAUGGCUGCUAAUACCGCAUAAGCGCACGGAACCGCAUGGUUCUGUGUGAAAAACUCCGGUGGUAUAAGAUGGACCCGCGUUGGAUUAGCUUGUUGGCAGGUAACGGCCUACCAAGGCGACGAUCCAUAGCCGGCCUGAGAGGGUGAACGGCCACAUUGGGACUGAGACACGGCCCAGACUCCUACGGGAGGCAGCG